GGGUCGUGUAUGAUUAUGCAAUUUUUUAUUUCUGUUUCUAAAUGACAUGUUGAUGCAGUUUUGUGGGGGGUUUUCUUUACUUUAUUAGAAUUAUGUUUGAUAAAUGUUUAUAAAUAUGCAUGAGUGAUGUCAUGAGUUGGAUGCACAAGCAAUGCAAGUUUGUUUUCAUUUGGUUUCGAUCAAUGCAGAGAACAAUAAACAAUGCAAUUUUUUGUGUUUAUAUUUGAUCUCAUAUACUAGCUCAUGUAAGUUGGCAUAUACCCUUGUAUUUAUACUAAAAUGUAUUUAAACUAUUGUGAUAAAAUCUUCAUAUAUUU
rnacentral:misc_RNA from 1 species